GGACUACGAGGGUUUCUAAUCCUGUUUGCUCCCCACGCUUUCGCGUCUCAGCGUCAGUCACCGUCCAGAGAGCCGCCUUCGCCACCGGUGUUCCUCCUGAUAUCUACGCAUUUCACCGCUACACCAGGAAUUCCACUCUCCUCUCCGGGACUCGAGUUCGCCAGUUUCCAAUGCACUUCCGGGGGUGAGCCCCGGGCUUUCACAUCAGACUUAGCGGACCGCCUACACGCCCUUUACGCCCAGUGAUUCCGAACAACGCUCGCACCCUCCGUAUUACCGCGGCGGCUGACAC
rnacentral:misc_RNA from 1 species